CACAACAUGUCUGACAUCCGUUCGAAACGCCAUUUUGUUCCGGAUUGAUAAUAUUUUGUCGUGGUACAAACUAGCUAUACACCGUUAAAUUGAACUCUUCUAACGAGGGAGAUGAUAUAGGAAUAGUCACCAAAACGCUUAUAAGUAUGUCAAUUUUCUUCCUGUUUAAAGCUUUCAACUAACAUUGAUUAUCAGCUGUUUUGUACGGAAAACGUGGAAUUUAAAUAAUUUACUGUUUCACCGCUAUUGGCAAUACAUUUUAGUCAUGUCAUCUGCAACAGACGAUCAUAUAUUUGUGACGGAUUAUCGAUAUAGAUAAAGCUAGGUACAUGUAGCAAUAGCAGUGGAAGCCCGUAUUUGCAAGCCAGUUGAGGGAAGGACAGAAUUCUGAAAAAGAGCAUGUUUUUCAUUUCCACACGUACAUGUGUAUCACUAUCAUAUGGACAUCUGAUAUUUUUGUGGGAUUUUGUCCAGCAGUUUGCCUUAAAAGAAUUUUUUUAUAUUUAAGUUUCAUAUUUAUGUGGAUUCCAAUAAAAAUCAUACAAACUUCAUUCAUGAUGAUUUUGUCUUUUAUUUCUAAACUUAAUGACAUUUCACUUUCAUAAGAAUUUUAAAACAGAAAUGUUUAAAAAUAUGAUAGAUAAGGGGUUAUCUGGAACCAGACUGAUAUUUUAAAAAUUCUCUAGAAAAUAGAGUAUUGUAUUUUGAGGUCUAUUAUUGUUCAAUAUUGUGCCUAGUAUUAGUAACAAAUGCAUGCAACAAAAAUCUCCUACACUUAUUUGGUGUAGAGAUCCACCUUAAAUGUAAC